AACGAACGCUGGCGGCGUGGAUAAGACAUGCAAGUCGAACGGGACUAAAUCUGUAGCAAUACAGGUUUAGUUUAGUGGCGAACGGGUGCGUAACACGUGGGCAAUCUGCCGAGAAGUGGGGGAUAGCUCGCCGAAAGGCAAAUUAAUACCGCAUAUGAUCAGGGACGACAUCUUCCCAACAUCAAAGCCGGGGCAACCUGGCGCUUCUUGAUGAGCCCGCGGCCAUCAGCUAGUUGGUGAGGUAACGGCUCACCAAGGCUAUGACGGGUAGCUGGUCUGAGAGGACGACCAGUCACACUGGAACUGAGACACGGUCCAGACACCUACGGGUGGCAGCAGUCGAGAAUUUUUC
rnacentral:rRNA from 1 species